rnacentral:rRNA from 1 species
UACGAAGGGGGCUAGCGUUGUUCGGAUUUACUGGGCGUAAAGCGCACGUAGGCGGAUCGUUAAGUCGGGGGUGAAAUCCUGGAGCUCAACUCCAGAACUGCCUUCGAUACUGGCGAUCUCGAGUCCGGAAGAGGUGAGUGGAACUCCUAGUGUAGAGGUGGAAUUCGUAGAUAUUAGGAAGAACACCAGUGGCGAAGGCGGCUCACUGGCCCGGUACUGACGCUGAGGCGCGAAAGCGUGGGGAGCAAACAGG